AGAAGGUUACAAAAUAAUGGACUUUUCAUUUUUUUAUUAAAAUUUUUGCUUUAAUCUUUUCAAAAUUUGGAGACUUAAAUGAAACUACCCUCAACUAAAUGAUGCUAUCCUUUUUUUGUGAAAAAAAUAUCAGUUUAUGAUUAAUGUUAAUUUUUAGUAGUAUUCAAUGUGGAAGCAAAAUAGAUGUUAGUAAAUUUGUUAUUAGAAUGUGCUCCCUGGAGAAUCCUAGAAAGACCAUUACCAUAAUAAGAAAAACAACAAAAAUCUUACAAGUUGUAUAUUUGGUAGCCAUAUUAGAACAACUUCUCGAAAAUUUUUUGUUCUGUUCAUCUGGAUGUAGAUACAGAUACAGGAGAUUCUAGGAAUGAGUUUGCAGAUAAAGUUCAGCAAUUAAUCUCCCAAUAACUCAGUUGAAAAUACCUUCCAUGGGUUUGAAACAGAUGAUCAAUAUACAAAUACACAAGAUAUGGCAACAUGAUUGGGAUACAGAAAUUCAUAAUAAGUUAUAUUCAUUCAUGCCAAAACUUCAUCCAUCCAAAUGAAUGCAAUAUUCUUUCUAACUGAUAUUUUGAUGUUAUAAAUGCAAAAAUGUGUAUGGGUCAUACUCAACUGAUCCAUACAUUUCUUGCAGCUAUGUCUACAUAGAGUAUACUUGCUGUCAUGUUCCUCUUAUUAUCUAGCACAUGCUACUGAUCUGUUUUUCAAUGUAAUGCUACCUGACAGCAAAAUUUUAAACUUUUAUAAAAUGUUCACUAUAUACACAUUUCAAUUGGUCUUCUGCUUCAGUCACAUGAAUUAUUACAUAAUAUAACAGUUAUUUCUUUUCUAUCAGACAUCAACUUACUCUUCAAAAUAUGACUCAUAUAUCUUGAUAAUAUUACAACUACCUCUGACAGUUUAUAUUUACUACUUUCUAGCACAUUAUGGCCCAUGUGCUGAUGUGCAAAAUACAACAAAACAGCAACAACAAAUAUUUGGUAGCAGUUGAAAUAAAAUUUCUUAAAGACAAACGUGACUAUCAGAUUGUUUUGUCAAAAUUUCUGAAUUUUAAAUUGAAGAUUUUUUGCCAAAAACCCAAAAAUUAGAAAAUUUUUAGAAACUGGCAAAUUUUAGAAAAUUUGCCAGUUUUUUAAAAAAUUGACUACUGUAUGCUCUAAAAUGUCUGAUUUUAGAUCAUACAGGAAAUAGG
rnacentral:lncRNA from 1 species